rnacentral:lncRNA from 1 species
ACUAUCUUCUACUUCAUGUUUAAAGAUAUGCCUGUUCCACUGCAACGAGUUACGUUCAUCAACAAUGGGCAGCGUCUCGCAGUUUCAAAAACACUAGGUGAGAGGCCUGUUUUUAUAACACUGAAAACAACACAUAAACGGACCAUAGAAUGGAAAAUGUUGAAGACUACUGCCCUUCAAACACUAAACACACAGCUGACGUGAACUCCCCAUCCUGCAAGAAAGACAGAGGCGUCAGCUGACUUUCAUGAAAGACUUGGCUUCUUGCUCACCUGGGCUGUCAAGAGUCAUCUGAUCUGACUGUGAACUCACAGCACUGGGUUUGCUUUGGAAACUCACUCAUAUCUUGGCAACACCCUACUUGCUAGCUGCUAAUUUUAGCAUCUACCUGGUGUGAACGGCUCCGAAGGCGGGCAAUGGGAAAGAGAGGAAGACGACAGUCCAGGGCAAUCAAGGGUCUGCUCUUUGCACUUUCAACUAAAGAGCGGAAGUUGACGCCAACAGCACACUUUGAGGGGGAGCUUCUGGGCUCACAGGGCUCUUCUUCAUUCACUUGCUGUGCUCAAACCAGACUGUUCCCUCCUGCCUAGAAUGUCUGCUCACAGGCGAUCCUAAAACCCUGUUCCCACCUCCCAGAGCAUCCUCCCCCACCCUUUAGGUCUCAGCUGAGCUGUCACUUUCUCUGGAACAUCUCAGGCACCCCAGGUCUAGUGCUCCCAUGGCCCCAUGGAUGUCCUCAGCGCAGGGCUUAUGCAUUCAUUCUGCGCUAUCUACUGGGGGCUCGCUAUGUGCCAGCCCCACCGCAGGACCUGGGACUCCGGUUAUGGACAAAUGCCAGCCCUCAGGGAGUUCAUAUGCUUGAGGAGGAAGCAAAGUAAACAAAUAAAUCUAUAACAUAGUCGCACACCAUGAUACUAUAAACUGACAUGACGCAAUGUAAACGCAGGAUGACAACAUCUCACUUUAUCAUAUGAUACUUCCCUCUUCACCUGGCUGCAUCUCCCCUAUGGGUUAUAGGGCACAGUAUGUGGUUCUGAGGUGCCCCACAAAAGCUUGAUGGAUGAAUGCACAGCCAUCAGCUUUUGGGUUCUGUCCAUUGUCCUGAGAGUUCAUCUAGUUUUGAUUACAUAGAGGAGAUAACUCAACCAUUAACUCAUUUCCUGCAGCGUGUCUGUUCUGCACACUGUCAUCAAUGCCAACGCCAAUGCCAUAUGCCCACUUAUUCUCGACAACUAUCUGUCUCUUUCUAAAUCAGCAGGUCCUUGACAGGAGAGGGGGCAGCCCUCACUAGAGGGAUCACGUGUGUAUCUGCUAGGAGCCCUCCUGUCCAUGGUUUCCUCAGUCCUUCAGGAGACCCCAGAGUAGUAAUCCCUCCAAUUAUUCUGCACUAGCAAACGGGACACAAGCAUAAGAGGCGAUCAGAAAAAAGCAGCAAACUCGGGAGCAGCAUCCACCCAGAGACCCUGAGGCCAGGCAUCAAAUAAUUUGGUAAAAAGUUAAUUGGCUACCAUCCUGCAUCCAUUAGGAUGGCAACUAUCAAAAACCAGAAAGUAACCAGCGUGGGAGAGGACGGGGAGACACUGAAACCCUUGUGCACUGUCGAUAGGAAUGCGACAUGGUACAGCGGGCGUGGAAAACCGUGUGGCGGCUCCUCAAACGAUUAAACACAGACAGAUCUAUCAUUUAAGCCAGCAAUUCCACUUCUGGGUAUAUAGCCAAAAGAAUGUGAAUCAGAGAUGAAGAGGUUUUUUUACACCCAUUUCACAGCAGCAUUGUUCAUCAGCCAAAAAUAUGGAAGCAACUCAAGCGUCCCUGAACAGAUGGAUAAACAAAAUGUGGUGUAUACAUACGAAGGGGAGGUGAGGGUUAGUGUUUAAAGGAUCCAUACUUUCACUUUUGCAAGAUGAAAAGGGUCCUGCUGAUGAAGAGUGAUGACAGUUGCACAGCGAGAACUCAAUUGCUACUGAACUGCACAUUUACAAAUGAUUAUGAUGGUAAACUUUGCUAUGUGUGCAUUUUGCCACAAUUAAAAAAAAAAAAAAAAAAAAAAGAACUGGCAGGUUGCCCAGAUCUGAGGUUUUUUGGCAACUGCUUGGUGGUCACACAAAUCUGACUCUACCACUUGCCAGUUGCAAGAGCUGGGCAAACAAGGGACUUAGCCUGCCUGAGCCUCAGUUUCCCCAUCUGCAAAAUGUGGAUGAUGAUGGUGGUGAUGAAGAUGAUAUCAAAUUUAUAAAAUAUGUAAAUAUAUUUAUAAAAUAUAUCAAUAGACUUUGUGAAGAGUUAAUGAGGCAGUCAUCUUUGCCAGAUACAACUAAAACUGAGUAUACUAUCUGGCGCAUAAGUUAUUAGUAACAAUGCAUCAAUAAACCCAUGCCUUCUUGCUUUCAUUGGCUCCAAUUACUAUCAUUAUUAGCUUAAUUUGAAAAUUAACAUCGACCUGUAGAAGUAUGUGAUGCUAGAGUGAGUGCCUUUAAAUAUCUGCGAAUUUAAUCCCAGAGCAGAAAUCCAGGCUUGGGGUGAGUUACUUCUAAUUUCAGAAACCUCUGGUUCUAUUUUUGCCCCAGAGAUAUUUUUAGAUGACAGAGCAGUGUGAAUCUGGGCACAAAUGCUUGACAGGUUAAAAUGAUGAGAUGUUCACAUUAUUUCAAGGAAACACCUUUUAUUUCAUUGUUCUGCCUCAACAUUGCCCCAGCAUCAUGUUUUUCUAUGAGUUUCUUUUGAUUUCUGCCUUAAUGGCUAGAAUAGGUAUUAAAAAGCCAAGCUGGAUGCAUUGCUGCUUGAAAACGAGACACUUAAAGUUUUAAAAUAAUGGUCAGAAAAAGAAAGAAUGAGUUUAAUGCUACAUAUGUCACCAGGGGACUAAUUUCCCUACUUUUAAUGACAACCUGAUUUGGGGCAACAAAAUCAUAUACAUAUAAAAUCACAUGAUACAUCUGUGUUCUCUGGGAUUUUUCAUCAUAUAACUAUCUUAAUUUUAAUUAAAUUAUCUGUAACAAUUACUUGGUAAAACAGAUAAAAGAUUGAACCCUAUAAAAAGUCAGCCACCUGAAAUAUACCCUUAUUAACAAACAGUCACAUUAGAUGACGAUACUUUCAGGGGCAAACAACAUAUUCAGUAACUCUAAAACAUGAUAUGCAUUAAAAUCAGUUAGUGCUGAUUCCAAUUCCUAUUUUAAAGGAAGGCAAACAUCCCAUCAAUAAAUUCUGCAUUCUUAGGGAAUUUGUGGCGUUUUCCUCCUGAAUGCCAGUUACCAAUUUGCACCCUAAGUCCCCACUCUCAAAAGCCAAUCCUGGACCCACUCCACAUGGAAUGUUAGAUAAAACAUCAAAUUCACUACACAGAAGAAUUUCACCUUUUCCACAGGAGAGAGAGAAUACACGACAACGGCAUCAGAGACAUUUAAAAAAAAAUGGCCAAAGACAAUGGACAAUUCAAGGGAACCUGCUGUGAACAAGAGAAAUCUGGUCUCCAUUGUGACUGAGCAAUACCCCUGCACACCCAAAAGACGAGCGACACACCUGCAAAAGAAAGUUCCAGUCCUUGACCCAUGUCUCUUCCAAGUGGACUCAAAAAGGGAGUUUCUGUUGGAGGGAGGUGGGGCCGGCAGGAGCACAGACAAAGAGGCUUGCCCAAGAGCCACUUGCCAUCC